rnacentral:lncRNA from 1 species
UAAAAGACAGACUGCAUAUAUUUGACAUAAAUCACAUAAAAACUUGAAAGCAUACAGUGAACUUACACAGCUUGUGAUCCUUUUCCUGAGCACUCAUUACUCUCUAAAUAAUGAGUAACUCUAGGGAGAGGGAGCUUCUUUUAUACAGAGCUCUUGAUAUCCUUUGGGAAAUUAAUCAUCAGAAUCAGCUGGGGGCCAUUUGUAAGCGAGUCAGGUUCAGACUUUGCCUCAGCGUAUGGGGGUACUGUUGGCUUUUGGUGUUCCUGCCUGCUCUGUUCAAGUGCUGUGGGAGUGCACCUAGAUAACAAGAAGCUUGAUGUCACCAAGGGAAUGAAUGGAAAGGUGUUAUGGUAAAAUGGAGGAGAAAUAUUGAACCGGCUUCGUGUGGCAAAGAAAAUAGGAGGAGGAGGACAGCAGAUGUGAGCAUCUCUGAACCAGGAAGUUCUCAAGGCGCAUUUCCAUCUUGAAGAUGUGCCAGGACAGAUAAGAGCACACGACACAACAAGAAAACUUAUUGGAGAGGCAAGAUUGCUUGUUUUUAAUCCCGUGAUAAAACAAAGGUUGCCGUUGCAUUUUGCAUCUGCAGAUCUAGUCCCCAGUACCUUCGUUAGCCCCAGUUUCGAGGUCUGAGUUGCGACGCUUUGUAUUUUCGAUCGGACGCCAAUUUAUUUUUGACCCGUUCUUACUCAUUAUAGCCGAUAGAUGGCAGCAAAUGACCACAGAUCUUCCGUUCCUAUCGUAGCCUGCUCCUCCUCGAUAGCUUUAUGUGGAAUUUUCCUAUUUGAAACCGAAACGGUGCUGAUUCCGCAGUAGCAGAACGCAGUACGAGGCAGCAGACCCGAUUUAACAUGUUAGAGCGUUAAGGCCAGUGAUGGAACUGUCUGUUGCGUUCCUGUUUCCAGCGAUGCCGGUGUGACCCGUUGUUCUGUGCCGAGCUGCACGCUUGUUUCUGCAGCUACCUGAGACAUCUUGGAAAAGCACUUUCUUGAGCGCUGAUCUACUUGCAAUUUCCCUGUAGUCUUUACACCAAAACACGUAAACAACUCAGGUUGUGGUGCUCUACUCUGGGGGAGUGGGGGGGGGGGGGGUGCUGCCUAUAGCGGGAGAGCCAUGAGAACAACGAUUUGAUUUCUAUGGCAGUCACUCAACCACCUCUCGGCAAGAGGUCGCCAAGUUUCCCUCAGCUCGCACACAUCAGAUGCGUGCCGCGUCUCAGCGGUCGGUGUAGACCCCACUGUGAAAGCC